ACUGGAGUGAAAGAGGGAGAGUGUGAGGCUGAGAGACACUGAGAGAGAAAGAAAGAGAGCGAGAUUACUACACCCAGCCUUUUAUAAAGCCGUUUCUUUCAUUAUAACAGGUCUUUUCAUCAAAAUGACACAGAACCUUUAAAUUUGGGCAUAAUACUCCCGUACAGUACAGAGCCAUAGCUUAAAACGGAUUCAGAACCUGCUCCAGAAAGAAAACAAACUCCCUCGUUUGACACACAAAUUGUUUACGAUUCAUUAAAAAGCAAAAUUGCGGAUCCCAGUGCUGGCAGCUGAGCCCAUAUGGGUGCAAGGGGUAUUCACUCCUCUCUUUGUAUGCUGGCACUACCAAGUUUCGCACUCCACAGCUGAGAUUGUGUGCGGCCACACCAGGCGUGAGUUGCAAUUGCUCAGAACCUGUUCAGCUGAUUGCAACAGCGUGAUUUUAGAUCUGUUCUUAAUUUGGGAGACGUUUUCCCUAGGAAGCCUGAGCUUCAGUGAGUUACAAUACAAAGAGGAUUUCCUUAUCGCAAACAGUGACAAUUAGUUCAAGUGCCAUGUGAGAGCAGGCAGUUGAUUUUUGGACAGUCUCUGAACUUCUGCAGAGUUGCUGACAACGAGUGUGUGUUCUAGCUUUUGGAAAUCCUCUAAUCCUGGCUUCAAUCAGGAGGAUCUGCCGUUGCUGAAGGCGUAAACAAGGAGAGAAGCAGCCUGUGACCACUGCUCCUGCACCUCCACAGCCUCCUGAGCCAAAACCAGUGCAACAGUAAAGCUUCCACUGAAUGCUCAAGGUGACACAUGCAUUUCAGAUCUUCUCACUCAAUCAAGGGGAAAAAAAGUCCUUUCCCCUCUGCAUAAAGUUGUCUUUGGCCUCUGCAUUUCCCCCUGCAGCUCUGUUGUGUGUAUUUUUCCCCUCUCCCUCCUCUGAUUUUCGUCUUGCCAUCUGUAUUCCCCUUUUGCCUCAUCUGAAACAAGCAUCAAGAUCUUGUUUCUGACAGAACGGUCUGUCAAUAUGGAAACACACUGACAUCACAGACAGUGCUGUGACUUCACGUCUGAAAGAAACAGGAGGAACAGAUGAAAGGAGUGAAGGGGAAGGAAUGACACAUACAAACAUUUUCAAAAAAUAAGUAAAAAUUCUUCUCUAUCAACUCAAAAUGUAAAGGAACAUAAACCAGAUUUAUUUUUAAGUCUAAAUGUAACCAGCUAUUUCCUAAUCUGUGACCGUAACUCGGCACUGCAUUUCAACUUGCUUUUCAUCUGGGAGAGGUACUGAGCCCCUGGGAGCUCAUGUUUUGCUGGUUCAAGCCUGUGACAGCCACCACUGCCUCUUGAGAAGGUCUAAACUGGGACUAACCUGGAAAAAGCUAAUAGCAAGCUCAUACUCAGGAAAAAAGAGCUCCUGCCUGUCCCAAUCUAAAACUUCUAAGUAAAUGCAAAGUCAUAGAAUGAAAAAGAAAAAUAUUCAUCAAAGCCACAAACUCAGUUUUGAUGCAGGUGGAUCAAAGGUGGCAUGUUCCCAUAGAGAUGGGGAUCCAAGAUGUACCCAGAAAAUAUUCUUAAUGAAUAAACAGGGUGGGAAUAUCACCUUCCUAUUAUUUUUUUUUAAUUUUUUCCUAUAAUGAAAUAUUAACAAAAGCCUCUAACCAUUAUUUCUAUUACUGGCUUUUUUUGUGUAAUAAUUUGGGAGGAGUUAGAAGCCCCACAUUUCCUUCACUAUUUGAAAUGUUUAUUUCAGUUCUAACAUUAGAAGGCAUCCAGAAGAUACUGCUUUCCUACCAUCUCCAGAGCUGCCGUAAAACUCUAAUAAGGAUACUUCUAACUAGUAGCAGAGGAGCUCAAGAAAACUAAAAGGUUAAUAUAUUCUAACUAGAUGUUGGGUAUAGAAUGUCAGAUCUGUCAAAUUUCAUUAUGGUUUGCUGCUCAAUGAAAGAGAUUUGAUUUCUUUUGCCACUGUCCUACUAUGUUCAAGUCACACAGUGCCAGCAGCAACCAGCCAACGACCACAGGCUGGCGCGGCGCGGGCCCGAGUGGGAAGGCAGCCGCAAGGACCAUCUGUUUCCCAUUGCUCGCGAAGCCAAGAUGUGCAGUGAAGUGCAUUCCAUUCACCCAGCCAGCCUUCUCCCCACUCAAGUUAUUAGUGUUACAAGUGAAAUUAUCUUUUCCAAACAGCGGGGGAGCUAUAAUCCUUGUGGAACAAGACUUAAAAAAAAGGGAAAGGAAAAAAAAAAGGGGGAUAAAAUACAACAACAACAAAAAAAAAAGGACAGAAAAAAGGUCCCUCAACACCCCCACCAUUCAAACAUCUUUUGUUAAAGUUGUCAAUGACACUGUUUGUAAAUUUAACUGCCAUGUUUUAUAAUUUUAAAAGGAUGUUUUAUUAAGAACUAUGUCCUCUAAGGGAAGAAUGCGUAUGUCUGUUUGUGGGAUCUAAUGGAAUAAACCAUUCACAUAUAUUUAGAGUGUUAUUUAUGAAUAAAGUUAAAAAUGACAAGAUGAA